AGCUUUUUACUUUUAACUUUUAAAAUGUAGCUGUUCAGUGUUGAUCUUUGCUUCCAAACAUAAUCUCAAACCUUAACCCGAUUGUUUUUGUUGCACUGGAUGUGUUUCACAGAGCCUCAUCUUCUGUUGAAUUUUUUAAUACGCCUUCAGUCAUUGUCGUUUUCAAGAUUAACGAGUGGGGGAUUGUUGCCCAACUAUCUUUUUGGAAAGAUACAUCGGCAUACCGUUUUCUUUCUUUUCGGCUUUUCUCUAUCGCUUCUUCUUCUUCUUCCUCUUUAUAAUAUGAAACCUUAAUUUGGUAUAUUACUUGGGCUUAAGCUUUUGGGCCAUGUUGGUAACUUGGUAUACCCACUCUGUCCAAUUUGUUUGGCCAGUAGGUUGCUUGGGGUGUGACAUGAAAAUUCUUCAAACUGGACUUGACAUGUACAGUGGCAAAAGAUGCUAUUUCAAGGUAUGUUAGACGAAUUGUUUUUGAAGGAGGACUCAUUGUAGAUCCAGAUCAGGGGGAGUUUCUCUGCCCUGUGGGAACCAUGGACUUGCAAAUUCAGCAUUGCCUGCAUUACCUGGAGAUUCUCAAAAGGUUUCUAGACCAGCAAUGGUUUCAACUGUCAGUUGGCCAUAUGCUACAGGCCAAUUAUCCUCUGCAAACAGGGAAACUGAUUUCCUUCGCUUUCGGGAAGCCUGGUCUCUUGUACAUAGUGCUGCUGAUGUUGCCGGGAGGAGUGAAAUCCUAAAAGCUUUUCCAAUGCAUCGAACGGGAAGGAUAAGACCAAAUCCUGAAUCCAUGUUUCGUGUACUAUCUGGAAUGUAUUUUCUAGGCAAACAGGAUAGGAUUUCAGGAUCUGCAAGGGUAAGCCACUCGGUAAUUAUGUGGGACACUCUUAAUUAUGUGGGACACUCUUAAGUACUCUCUUAUUUCAGGAUCUACUGCUGGUUUGCUGCUGCUGCUGCCGGUGUGCUGCUGCAGAAUUUUGCUGGGCUGCUGCUGCUGCUGCAAUGUUGCUGUGAAGCGGGCUGCUGCUAGAUGCUGGUCUGCUGCAAAUUUGGGUUAUUGUUAGCCCUAUGAAUUCAAUACAUAAUCGGAUGUUUGUGAAAAUCUGAAUCAGACAUGUCAGCAUUCAAAGCAGCAAAUCUAGCUGCUGUAUUUGAAGAUUUUAUCCACUGGCAUUCACCUAGAGAUUGGGAGAAUGAUGACUUCGAAGAGAGUGGAGAAGUGUCUACAAAUGAUGCAAUGGAAUCGUUAAAAAACAAUCGGCCUCCUCGAGGAUGACUUUCAAAGAGAAUGUCUGAGCAUGGGAAUUUGUGGCGAAAAAUUUGGAAUGGUGCACCUGCUUUGCCAGCUUCUGAGCAGAACCCACUUUUGGACCCUAAUCGAGAAGGAGAAAAGCAAAUGUAGGAUGUUACAACGAAGGUCUCAAGUUCAUAAAACUGGUCUGCUGCUGCUGCUGCUGCUGCUGCUGUGCUGCAGAAUUUUGCUAGGCUGCUGCUGCUGCAAUGUUGUUUUGAAGCGGGCUGCUACUAGAUGCUGGUCUGCUGCAAAUUUGGGUUGUUGUUAGUUUCAUGUUUUCAUUUUGUUAUCUGCUGUUUUUACUAUGGGUUCACAAUUUGGAUGGAUUUGAGUAUUUUAGUGAGUUUACCCUUUUAGGUUUUAUACAACGCUUCCAAAAGCAUAUUUUUCAGCAGUGUUUUUUUUGCAUACACAUCAACUUUAGGUGAUUUAAUAUCAAUGCUAUUAGUUUGUAAUA